AGUGGGCUGAAGACGAAGCUCGUUCGUAAUACAUUAGCAACUCAAUUUCGAAGCUCGGAUUGACUCGGCGUAAUAGACUAUUCGCUGAGGACACUAGCUUGUCUAGUGGCCGAACUACGAGGUAGAAGCUUCUAACUCAUUUUGAAGUCAAAUUCUUUAGAUUAGACCUCAGAUCAGGCAGGAUUACCCGCUGAACUUAA
rnacentral:misc_RNA from 1 species